UGCUUUUAUAACGUUUUAAUCUUACUGUGAUACAUUCAAGUGUUACUAAACCCUGAGUUUAUUUUAUUAAUUAUUUUUCUUCUCUUCUCCAGCUUUUUGAUGCGUGGAUGUACCAGCAGGUGCACUGAGCAUUCAGCCUUCAUACCAUGAUGAUGAAUGGUGGGAGAAUGCAAAGAAUACUUAUUAUAAACAAACUCUCCGGCCCAGUGUGAUGAUGCUUGGUGGAGCAGCCAUACCUGCAGUAGAACUGGUGUCACUCACAGGUUGAUCCUGGAGCUCUAAAUUGCGGUAUAAUCGAAGUCCCUAAAGGCUUCCGCAAUCUCCUUUUCCAUGGCCAAGGAACCCUCGGAGGGAGGAGUUAGAACUAGAUGUUGAUCUUUAUCCUCGGAAAGUCUAACAUCCUCAGCAUUUCGUAUAUUACAAUGCCCAGAGACCACCAGUCGACAGAUCUUGAGUAUGGCUCCCUGGCGAGGACUUCUGGUGCCAUGUAGCCAAAAGAUCCUUUCAGGCUACUUGUUCGCCCUUCAUAGCCAAUUCCUGAAAAAAAACAGUUAUUGUAGCUCUUUAAGCAGCCGCCAGCAACGUACUCCAUCAGAAAGAAUAGAUGGUAUUCUGACUGGAACGUGGCGUGGAUAUCCACAACGAAAGGGUGGUCAGCAACGGCGAAAGCAACCCGUUUCUCUAGCAAGAUCCUGAAUAUUAAAAGCAUUCAUUGUCAGAACAAGGGACAUGGAUUUUCAGGGCAUAGGAUCUUUUGGUUGCCGCGUGUUCAACAAGGAGAACCUGGAAUAAGAGAGAAUCUCAGGAAAUGCAGGAAGAUACAUGCAGAACAUCCAUACCCCUUUCAGAGAGCUGCAAGAAUCGAUCCAUACUUGCCCCAGCAUUGCAAGGUUGCAUCUUACUGUGGGUCCUUUGUCACUGCCAGUGGACAUCCUUCUGCUGCAUCAGGUGGAGUUGGGCUGAUGUUUUCUUCAUCCACAGAUAUCUCACUAUAAGGAAAAGUCUCUAAUCGUCAGGCAUGAAGCGACAACUUGAUAUUUCCAUCUGCCUUACCUCAGAAUGCCGGUGCCGACGCAAGAUGUUAGAAUGUCCGGCACCCAUCUUGAGGCUCCUGUAUGAGAAAAAAAAGGUUGGUGUAAGUGGCUGCUUCAGUGGAGAUAAAGAAUACAACUGUUUGUAGCUGCUGGUAAACUACAAGCUCAAGACAAGCACCUCUCUGUAACCUCACUGCUACCCAUCUG